AAAAUCAGAAACCCACUUUCCCAAAUCCCAUUUCCCUUCACGUCACCCUCACCGCCAAUCUCUUCCUCUUCUUCUACCUUCUCAUUCCUUCUUCUUCCUUCUUAAACCGACACCCUUCCACUUUCCUUUUCCUUUUCCUUUUCCUUCCUUCUUCUUCUUCGAGCGGCAGCAGCACCCGCACCACCUUCACCAUCUUCUUCCUCCUUCUUCUUGUAAUUGUUGGUGUAAACAAACUAAGGAGACGACUUUAUCGAAGAGCCCUUCUAGUAAUCGUGGAGUACCAGACUUAGCCUCUUGAAGCGUUCUUUUGCUGAUUACAGGUCGAAUCCGGUUGGAAAUAAUCGGGUUAGCGAUGUUGAUGAGAGUGCUAAGGAUGUUCUUUUGAGCUGAGGCCGUGGAAGCUUAUAGUUUGUAUUAGGAAUUCGUUUAAUGUAUAAUAGUUCUGAUUAGUUUUGAUUAUGUUGAUUAUAAUGGACUCGUAGUGAGUUGUAGGAUACUUUAUGUUUAGAUUAGAUAUUUGAUUUGAGAUUUAGCUG